AUACAGAAGCCUCAAGCGUUACCCGGAUUCACGGGGCGUAAAGGGUUCGUAGGCGGUUAUAUUAGUCGGGUGUUAAAUCCUGAGGCUCAACCUCAGGCUCGCAUUCGAAACGGUAUAACUAGAAGAAGUGAGAGGUGAACAGAACUCAUGGUGUAGGGGUGAAAUCCGUUGAUAUCAUGGGGAAUACCAAAUGCGAAGGCAGUUCACUGGCACUUUCUUGACGCUGAGGAACGAAAGCGUGGGUAGCGAACGGGAUUAGAUACCCCAGUAGUCC
rnacentral:rRNA from 1 species